AGUGAACGCUGGCGGUAGGCCUAACACAUGCAAGUCGAACGGCAGCACAGUAAGAGCUUGCUCUUUCGGGUGGCGAGUGGCGGACGGGUGAGGAAUACAUCGGAAUCUACUUUUUCGUGGGGGAUAACGUAGGGAAACUUACGCUAAUACCGCAUACGACCUACGGGUGAAAGCAGGGGAUCUUCGGACCUUGCGCGAUUGAAUGAGCCGAUGUCGGAUUAGCUAGUUGGCGGGGUAAAGGCCCACCAAGGCGACGAUCCGUAGCUGGUCUGAGAGGAUGAUCAGCCACACUGGAACUGAGACACGGUCCAGACUCCUACGGGAGGCAGCAGUGGGGAAUAUUGGACAAAGGGCGCAAGCCUGAUCCAGCCAUACCGCGUGGGUGAAGAAGGCCUUCAGGUUGUAAAGACCUUUUGUUGGGAAAGAAAAGCAGCAGGUUAAUACCCCGCUGUUCUGACGGUACCCAAAGAAUAAGCACCGGCUAACUUCGUG
rnacentral:rRNA from 1 species